CUGGCACUACACUUCACUGACUGGAGCCCAAGCAGACCACACCCUCUCUCUGUACCUGGUACAGAAUGCUCUACUCAGCUUCAAGGAACUCCUUCAUUCCAAAAYUUCAGAUGAUCAGUUGGCCUGGGACCUGAACACCAAUGAUUCCGGCACACCUGACUCACUACAGCAAGACCAAUUUGUCCAUGUGAGAAAUGCUUUUUUAAAUUUUUUAUCUUCCCCCUCGUUUAUGAUUUGUAUAGGCGGAGCAGUGCUCAGUAUUUCUCCUCUGUUAUUUUUAUAUGUCUGUCUGUCUGUCUGA